CAGAAAUAUGUUGAAUCAUGUCAGAUUUGCAAUUCAACAUGGCAGCCAUAGCAAAUGUGGUAGGAGCCUGUGCACUGAGCCCCAGCCCCAGCAGGCUUGGGUGUUUUGUGCUGGCCACACCAGGCAGGCAAUUGGCACAGGAAGAAAGAGCCAGGUGGGUGCCCAGGCUGGGGCGGAAGAGAUGAUUUUUUUAUUUUUUUCAUGUGAGUGGUGAAUUCAACCAGGAGUGAUCUGGGAAUGAGGGAACCCCUGCAAUCUGGUUUUGUCAGUGCUAACCCUUUAGCAGCCAGCUUGUUGCUUUUCUACUGGCACAGUGCACUGGUCUGGGUGCACGGCCAGGGCAAACCCAGGAGUGGGGUGUGAGGCUCCACUGGCUCCAGCGGGCAAAGAUGGAUGAAGAAGUGCUCCAGUGUUCUCUGCAGGGAGGCUGUUUGUCAUGCAGUGAUGGUGGCCUUCAGGCUUUGGAGACGGCUUCAGCUGGGCACCCUUGGGAAGGAGCUGCUUGGCAAAGGUACGGGGUGGUUGGAGAGGGCAAUUUGCUUGGCCACAUCCACCCUCAUGGGGCUUUGUACCUCUCCUUGGUUGCCCAGAAAGGUUCUGCACUGCUGCAGCAAAGCUCUCCAGGUCUGCCUGAGCUUGGAGGCUUGUGCAUAGUGACUGUGAAUCUGCCCUCUUUCUGUCAAACUUAAUUUAGGCCCAUUUGGGAUGCAACAAAAGCAGCUUGUUUGCAGGUCAGGGUUCCCCUGCCUCCUCCCCGGAUGCUACACACUACACAGGUGCUUGGGAGCCAUGGAAACCAUCCCUCCUCUUUCACCAAAUUUUUCCUCCUCCUUCCUUGCUCCUGGUUUCCUCCUUCUCCUCCCUUGUCAAAACAAAACAAAACAAAACAAAACAAAAAAAAAACUUUCAGCAAGUGACAUGCAGCUCUACAGCAAAGCCUUUGCCUCCAUGAACUGCUGUUCCAGCCAUGCUCCAGGGGACAUCCCCAAGAUUGUCUCAGUUACCACUCACCUCCUAGAGAUGCUUUUCUGGGUGUUGGAUGUCUUGUGGGCCUAGCAGCAAUCUUUGUGGCCCUGUGCACUGGGGUUUGGAUGCUGGGAUGCUUGGUUUCAGUUCUGAAACUUCCCAUUCAGUUGUCAUUUGGCACUGCCAUAGUGUGUCUCUAAGGCAAAGCAUGCAAUAGGCCAGAGCAGAUGUAGGAAGAUGCUGACAGGAGUUUUGAAAGCAGCUACUAAACACCUCUUGGGGUGAGUGCAGCCCCACAAUGCCUCUAAGAGUUGCAGACCAGUGUUGUGGGUCUUGCCUGCAGAUCUCAUUUGUGAGGCCGCUUCUUAUGUGUCCGUGGCUCUCAUGAUGCACAGCAGUUGGUUUGGGAGUUGAAACGCCCACAUUAGCAGAAGCUCAGGGCAGUCAGUCAUUCUUGGGAUCUGGCCCCAAAAUGUUUCAGGAUGCCAACUGCAGUGGAGCUCACUUACACAACAGUUUACAUCCAGACCUUUAAUGCUAAUGAGACAGGAACUCUUUUUUGCUCAUCCGUACAGCUUUCUCCUUGCAUGUUAUUUACAUAAAUAGGGGCUGGGGUAGAAGCAGACCUUUCUUUCCUUCUCUUCUCUUUGUCCACAAUCUCUGUAGCUUCAGUGGGAGAUGCUGGCAGAGGGCUGCUACCAAAAAAAAAAAAAAAAAAAAAGUAAGAUAGAAAGAAAAUUGCCAAAGCCGAUGAUGUGCCUCCUGUGACUGCAGUGGGCAGCCUUAGAGCAGACAAAGUCUGAACUAAGGAAGGACACUUCUCACGUGUCCUAAACAAAACAUCUGGCACCUCUGUAAGAGCCAUCCAGCCAAGGGAGGCAGCUGUUUUCCUCUACAUGGCUUGCAGAAAAAUAGGGCUCAGGCUUCCAGAACAUGGCUCAGCAAAAAGGACAAAUACUUGAAACCGGGAGGUGGAUCUUUCUGCCACUAUUGCCUUUGAAUCUGGAGCUUGCUCUCUAGCUCUUCUGCCUUGAGCUCUGUGCCAUCUCAGGGGGAAGACCAGGAGCUUUUCCGCAAAGCUCAAGCCUCUCUUGGCUACUGUAACACCCCCCCUCCUCCCCCCCAGCAACCAGCAGAGCUGCUCUGGAUUUACAUUGACAUUCCUGAGAGCAGGAUCAGGUCUCCAGGUUUGUCGAGUGUGGCUCUGGGAAAUUUUCUUUCCUUAAAAGGGCUAGGUUUGGCCAAAGCAGAGUUUGGACUGUGUUUUCCUUUUCUUCUUCUUCUUCUCCUCCUCCUUUUUUAUUUUUUUCAUUAUUUUUCUUAACUUGCAGCAAAACUUGCACAGGUGAAAAUUGCCUGAUUUGCAGUUGCAGACAGUGCUGUGCUGUUUGUGCACAGGCCGGCCCUCUGGGGACCAUCAUCCCCCAGGUUGCACCAUCCACACAACCCGCUUCAUCCCUCCAGUGACGACUUCUGAUGGAGAAAAAGGGUGUAAAAGGCAGGGAGACUGAAUUAGAUCUUUGUGGAUUUCAUCCUCAGCCUUUCCACUAAUUGCCAACUUGUUCCAGUGGGUCUAUAGGGCACAAGCCUAAUGGGAUCCCAGUAGAAACACAUCCAAGGGAAAGAUACUUCAUGCACCAUGGGGGAACACGGACUACCCAGAGGUACUCGAUGCUGAUUCACCCCAGUACCACCCCACAUCUGGUCCUUUGAAGAAUCAAUGUCAUUUAUUUUCCUUGCUGCAGUUUUUACUCUCUGUCACCUUUUUCAUUCCCUAUUUUCCCUCCACUUUUUCUGUAGUUCUGGGUUGUUACUGUGGUGUUGCUCAUGGAUUCUGUUUCUCUUUGAUGUUACUUGGCUGCUGUGAAAGGUGAGGUUUGGGAGGACAAAGAGAGACAAAUGGUUUGUUUUUGUAGGGCUGCUUACGAGUUGUGUUGUCUGGGUCUGCAGUUGGAAAGCUGGUGAGAUAGGCAGGGUUUGGCACCAUAAGAUCACUCAUGAGUUAUUGCCGGCUGCAGAACAUGUAAGAGAACAGGCAGUCCAGCAAAGUCCAGCAUGCUGCAUAAAGUGAGGUCUAUGGAGACUAAGAGGUAAGUAUUACAUUAUUGUGAUGAUAACAAUGAAAAGUCACCCUGUAUGUAAUACCCCAUGGUUUGGUGAGGUCUGUACCAGGCAGCAGGGUGGCAGCUUCACGAGCAUCUUCCCCAGUCACACCCAACCAUGCUAUUGUGUACUGUGGCUGCUGCCAGCACAUCAGUGUCACUAUGCUGCUGGGCUGAGGGACAGAGAAAUAGCUCAAAAGAGCUGUCCAUGCCCUGCAGGGCAACCCCUGCCCAUGGGAGUUAGGGCAGAAGGUUUCUCCCCAUCUGCAAGCACCCGUUGUGCUUCCUCCUUCCUCCUCCUCCUGGCUGAAGAGGUUUGUGCAGCAGCUGUGGCCACAUUCAACUUGGUUGACUGCUCAGCCAGCAUUUCUAGGUUAUAAUUUAAACUUGCAGGAUGGCCUGUGCUGAUGUUUUUGUGCCAGGUAUGGUGAUCUGAAGCAGCUCUGCAUGGGCAGGGAGAUUCUGGGAUCUACACCAAGAAUGCAUGGAGCGGUUCUUCUUUCCUUCAGUCUUGGCUUGCCUCAGCACUGUGCACCAGCUCUGCCGAGAAGAGGUCACAGGAAAACUCUGUCAUACCUGUGAACAAAGCCAGGAUGGCUUGGGAGCUGGCUGAUUUGCUUGAACUGAGUUUGACAACACAAAUCUGAGGGCUAAGAAUGGAGUCACCCACAGCAUGCAAGGAUAGAGAGCCCCCAAAAGCCCCACUUGGAGCAACAGCUUGGGUUGUAGCAUUUUUCAAGCAGGCUACACUCAUGCACACCACCAAAAGUGAAGGCAGGCGCUGAUAAGAACAUGAUAAACAGCUUGAAUAUCUGUGCCUCUGCUCCCAGGGUUCCUGUUUGUGGGAGAAGGAUUGAGUUGAGGCUUCUGAGACCUGACUGACCCACAGGGAGGACACCUGAGACCAUCCCUGCAGCCCUGCUGCCUUGGGAGCAUGACAGUGUGGUUGAAGAUAGCUGGGAUGGAUGCAGAGGGACCAGGAUAAAGGGGUCAAGGAUGUUUUUACUCCUUUCUUCAAGGUGGUGUUGCUAAGUUAAGCAGGCUAUGAAACCUGACCCCUCAAGAUCAGGGCUGGACAUCAGGAAGAAGUUCUUCACCGAGAGGGUGGUUGCACACUGGAACAGGCUCCCCAGUGAAGCAGUCACUGCACCAAGCCUGUCUGAAUUUAAGAAGUGUUUGGACUGUGCACUUAGUCACAUGGUCUAAACUUUUGGGUAGACCUGUGCGGUGCCAGGAGUUGGACUUGAUGAUCCUUAUGGGUCCCUUCCAACUUGGGAUAUUCUAUGAUUCUAUGAUUCUAAGAAGCUUCAAUCCCACAGAAAUAAGAUUGCAGUUAAAUUCUUGUCACCCAGUUCAGUCUGACAAGUCAUCAGGCAGCCUGCUAGGGGAUUACUUCUGAUGUUUUAAGUCUACUAAAACACCUUUAUUCCCUGGCUUCACUGGAUAUGUGCCAUUCACACACUGGACAUCACCCCAGAACUGUCUGCAUCUCAGUGGAGGACAUGGUGGCAUAUGUUGUACUGAUCCCCAACACAAUCUUUGUUGCACGGCUUUCUCUUGUUUGACCUGAAUUCUUCCCUGCUCUUCAAAGAGGCAGUGGAGGAAGAGUCCUGCAAUGAGCUCCCCAGGUAGAGAAACAUAAGGCUGGCUAUGCUGGAGCUGACAGCCAGGAUCGGCCCCUGGCCUGGGCCUGGAUCCAGCCACAGGAGCACUGUGGGAGUUCUUAUCUGGAUGUCAGCUUUGCAGUCUGGGCCUGUGAAAUUAUCUUAGAUGUGGUUCCUAGAGCAGAGGAAAAGGGCUAAUGAACAGAGAUAUGUUAAAGAAGCAGGCAAAAGCUUUCUGUCCUUCAUGGCUGAAGAAGAAAUCCUGCAGCUGGUCAAUCUGGAUACAAUUAGAGUUCAUUUCUCCCUGUGUAAUCAACCCAUCUGUCUAUCCCUGCGCAUCAGCAGUGCACACCCCACUGCAGGCAGAUGCUUCCCAGGCACUGUUGUUAUCUGCAUUUGCUGUGGAUGCUCCAGGCAGCCCAAGGACAAGGCUCGCUCAACAACUUCACCUGUUCCCUCUGCCCCUCCAGGCUCAGCAGGAGCUCUGGGAAUGCUGUGGACAACAAACCAACUGUGAUCACUGCAAAUGGGAGGAUCAAGCACCGGCAAAGGCUCUCCAAGAGGAUGGUGGGUGGGUGUCUUCUCCAAAGUGCUUUACAUUUUCUGGAGUGAUCUUUGUAAUGUACUGAUAGCUUCAGUUUUCCAGACACUGCCUACUCCUCUGAGCUCAACCUUACUGUAAGCAAGUAAUGGUAGAUUAUGUUCAGGUGCCACACUGAGCUUGUGAAGUUGUGUUCAUCACACGGGAUCCUGAGUACUGGUUCAGGUGUCUGUGGUUCUGGUGUCCUGUAUACUCAAACUGUAUGAACUUGCAUUUACAUUAGCUCUUGCUUGUGUCACAUUUUGUCAUCAGAGUGUCUUGAGGGAUCAAUCCACUGUACUAAGUGCUGUCCACACAGAAAAUAAAGAUGGUCCCAACCUGAAGCAGCUUACACAAUCAGCUCAGAUCUCUCCUGUGUAUUAAGUGAUACAGGCACCUAAACUUCUGCCACUUGCAGAGAGACAAAACAUCUUUACCAGCCAGAAACAAUUUGAAGUAUGCAUCACAGGAUUAAACAUUUAUUUUGCUUUCAAGGGGCACUUGUUGCUUAACUUCUAAAUCCAACUUAUUGUCAUCCUCUAUUAUAUUGUUCAGGAUUGCGAUUUGGGUCCUAAAUCUUCUGAUUUUUAUUUGUUUUCCAAUGCACUGAUUUACCAAUAAGGAAUAAUGGAAAAGCAAAAGAAAACAGCAGCACUUGUUUGCAUAGGCUCUACAUUGUUCUGUGUUGUGCUGCUACUCAAACAGAAGCAAUAAAUCCUACUCCCUGGAUAAAGAGGGGGCUUGGGGUGGUGGCUGAGUAAAAACAAGGCCAGGGAAGAUAAACAAACAGAAAAAUACUGCUUCUAGGAAAUAGCAAUUGAGGAUGGCCAAUCAACUGAUGGGUCAAAGCCAACACAACACCAUCAAUUAGCAAAGGCAUACUGAUAUUAUUUCUCCAAGGCAUUUUUGCCUCAAUAAAGAGGAAAGAGAUGGAUUUGUGUUACAGUAUCUGUGGUCAAAUUUGACUGCAAUUAGGAAUCUGUAUAAUUUCUGUGUUGGAAAAGGGGGGUUUUGUAAAGAACUCUGUAGAAAAUGUACAUGGUUCCAGAAGGGCUCUGCCAAAUGGGUGCUGAAGAUCUGUAUGUUGGUGUCAUUGUCAGAAUUGCUGGAGGUGGGAACAUUUGCUAAUACUGCUUAUUUUAGAGGGCCAGCUCUCAGCAACAGUUCAUUCCUGAAAAUGCAGCUCUGAAAACUCAGCCCUCAAGUCUGUGUGUGACACUGUCUUGUGUUCUCUUUGCCAGAUGGGGAGGAACACAGCUAAAUCUACAGAGUUUCAGAGCAUGCAGAAUGAUGUGGAAAGAACUUAAUCUCAGAUUGCAAAUCUCAGAUUAAUUGCAAAUCAAGCUUGACCUCUGUUCCUUGAGCAACCAAAACUGUCACAAUUUCUUUUCCAUCCAGCCCACACAGGAUGACCUGGAGGGAGUCUCACUCAUAAUGGGUAACUUUUGGCAUCCUGAUGAAUUGCAGAGUCUAAAUGGAUUACUGUGUUCAUAUCUAAGGAAGGCAAACAACCUCCAUCAGCACCAGUGGUUACAUCUUCGUUAGGACCUUUCAGAACUAGAUUACAUCCUCUGUUGUGGGAUUCAGCAAAAUGGUCUUUGGAUGAGCUCAGGACUGGCCAACAUACCAAAUAGUUUGGUUUGUGGGAUUACUUGCAGCAGUUUGGCAUGAGUCCCAGUGAUGUGGAAAACAAACUCACCUCCCACCUUAGCAGGCAGAGGGUUCCCUACCACCAUCUGCCUUCUGGAAGAAAGGAGAAAACACCUUGGCUGUGUGCAGUCCUCCAGAGCAAGGUGGAUAUGGGGCACAAACAGAGUGCUGGGCACGUACCAGAAAGACUGGCAAUGUUGUUGAAAACGCUAUCUUUGACUUCUCUGCUUCCUUCGUCUAGAGCCCCAGAGCUGUGUUGGUGAAAAGAAAAUCAACUGCAUCUUCAGUUUUCAUGGGAGUAAAAGGCAGGAAUGAUCUAGCAUGGACUCUGGCCAUUCAACACUUCAGAUGUGUUGAGCCACAGAGCAGCCAAUUCCUGGAUAAGGGUCAUCUCAUUGCCUUAGACCACCAUGGUCCCAAGCUGUCCUUGAGGCUGAGGUAGUAGAUUGAAUAGUUGUGGAGUCCUAUCCUCCCUUUGAGCUAACUAUACAAUCUACUGUCUUUCCUAAGGAGACAGUCAGGUCUUCAGUUCUCAUCAUCUACUUCAACACCAAGCGUGGAGACGGAUGGUCCAAGUAAUCCUGUUCUUACAGAAAGCCAGUAAUGUGGCUGUGAAUCACACAAGACCUCUGUACUGCUCUGUGGAGGUGAGGUAGUAGGUUGUAUAGUUUUGUGGGAGGGAUUGUAUCCCAUUUCAGGUGAUAACUAUACAGUCUAUUGCCUUCCUUAAAGAGCAGCAAAACCAUUGGAGAAUUGCCUCAGCCACAGAGGUCCAGAGACAUCAUUUCUUUCUGUUGAGGAUCCAAACCCAUUGCUGACCAACUCAGUGUGUUUUCUCUUACAGCAUCCAGGAUUGCAUUAUUCCAGGGACUGCUCCAUGCUUAAGUCAUAUGAACAGGGAGUCAUCUAUAUAUUAAAACAAAUAAAAAAGUCCCUCUGUUUAAUGGGUGCAAGACAAACAAGUAAUGAGCUGGUGCCUCAGCUCCUGGUGUUCAGUUCUAUCCCUCCCCACCCCCACUCCCUUUUAUUUUUCUGGAGAUGAGCUCAAGUUGUGAAGGGUUUAAGUGUGUUGUUCUUUUCGGUCUAUUCUCAAGUGUGGAGGGAAGUGUAUUUGUAUUUUUUGGUAGAUCUGUACUUUUGAUUUAAGUUUGUUGAACCCAGUUCUGAAGUUUGGAUUAAAAACUAUAUCCAAGAGUAAGUUUAGCCUGUGGACUCAAAACCCCAUGAGCUGAUAGAUUUUGGCUGGUUGGCCUCUGCUCAGUAAGUGCAUUCAGGUUUUGGACAAGUUCCCAGCUCUACCCUGUUAUGAAGUUAGAGGGUAUUUCUUUCUAAUUUGAUAAUCUAUAUUAUCUGAACUCACUGAUAUGCAAACCCUAGCAAAGCAAUUAGCGCUCGUGUAUUUACACAGAAUAAGCCAGCAGUUUAUACUAACACCCUGUCCUAAAUGUGAGACAGGUGAAGAAGAGACGUGAGGUGAAGGCAGCAAGUCUUAACACUUCUGGGUUCUCCCAGGUAGGAAGUACUGACAUCUGAUAGUAGACAAAUGAGAAGACAGCACACUACAGAGCUCUAGCACUUGACAACAGACAGGGAACAGGUUUUUCCCUUUCCAAGAAGCAAUUAGAACUAUCCCUCUGCUAUAUUCCAGAGUAAAUAGGAUCAAGGUCAUGAGUGGGACUGUAAUGUGAUCAGGGCUACACCAGUUCUUCAAGACUGAGGGAUGUGCCAGGAGAUUAUCACUGGCAUCACACUGUCAGGGAAAUGUGAGAUCUGAGACACCGGGGAGCAAGGGCAAACUGAGGACACUUUCACAGAUUAAGUAGGAGAAUGAGAGCUGCAAAAAGACAUUAGAGCCCUCAAAUUCCAGCCUUGAAGUGAGAGACAGGGAGAAUGAGACCUGGUUGCCUGGGCUAUGGGACUCCCAGAAGUGAAGCAGUUUGUUUAAGGCUCUUCUGCUUCUUGGGAUGGGGCGUAGCUGCAGUAAGGCUGAGAUGUGAUUUCUGCAGGCUGGGCAACAGCUGGUGGGUGGGGAUGCUGCAGUGUCUAGCAUCAGAGGAAUGCAGCCCUCUCUCCAUAAAUCUGGCUUUUCAGCAGUCCUGGGGACCUGCCACACAAAGCUACAGCUUGCUCCUCUUCUACGCAUUAUUAUCCUCUAGCUGCUUGCUAAGGGGCAGGCCUUUCCUACCCCCAAGAUUGCUCAGAAGGUAACAAAGAAUAGCGCAGCAUAUCAACUUAAUAUUUAAGAGAUAUCCCCUAGAGAAGAAUUAAUCCUUUGUGUCCCAGAUUGAAUCAGUUCAGCCCCAUCCAUUGCACUGAUGUUAAUGUCUUAAGCAGCAAAACUGUAUGAGGUGGAAGCCAAGAAUAAAAUAUUAUUACUAGAGAUACUCUCUUGUAAAAACAAACUUGUUUUGACUUAAGAAAAAAAAAAUUGUCUUUUUACCAUCUUGAAACGAGCACAGCUGAUGAACUGGGACUAGGGCUGGCCAGCGCUCCUGAUUGUGUGUUCCCAAGUUCUCCAUGUGCCCAAACCCCUGAGCAGGAAGGGGAAACCACAGCCAGGACAUUAUAAGGGUGUGGGGCAGAUGGGAUUGGCCAUGCAGCUGAAACCAUAGGUCUUUCUAUCAGUGCACUCUAGCAGAAUCCCACUGCAAAGCUCUGGGGCUGUAGCUGGGCUCCUCUCUGCUUUGUACAGCCACUGUUAUAAGCACAUUUGUAAAUCUGAUACAGAUUUCCAGAUAUACCAAUUAUCCAUAAACUGAGGUCCCCACCACAGUGGCAGGGCAGUGGCCAUUUCAUAGCUGGUGUCAUGGCCCAUACUGUAAAUUCCUGAGGACAGCACAUAUGCUGCCCCCCCACCCUUCUAAUUCACCAUCUUCAGAGGAGCUUCAGGAGCUGAAUCCAGAUGACCUUCUCUCCCCCAGCCUGCAGUGAGUACAUCCACCUCCCCACUGGAACACAGGUCCUGGGGCUUCAGGGAAAUCUGCAGGUGGGGUUCAUGCAGCACCCAGGUCUUAUAAACACCACAAAUCCCCUGAUUUCAACCCAGCUGGCCAAAACUGAUGGUUAAAUGCCUUAAAGCAUGUCAGAGCCUGUGUGAUGGAAAAUUGUGGUGCUGUGUUGCCAUGGUGAUGGGCCCCCACGGCACAGGAAUUUGUUUCCUGCCUCCUCAUAGCCUGCUGCCAUGUAGCCCAUGGUCAGACAAACAUCAAAAACAUCAACCCAGUGUCAUGGGGCAUCCUUUAGAGGUGUUGUGAAUGAAUGAUGGCAAGUUAUCCAUAAGCAGGGCCUGACCACCCUCAGGAGGCUCCACUAUGACCUGGUAGCUGCUGUUUUCCUUCAGUUGUCAAGGCAAAUGCCAUCUGCCACCCUAAAAUACCUCCAUUGUCCCCAAGGACUUUGGUCACAUGGGGAGGCCAGACAGCAAGAACAUGAAGCACAGUCCUUUUCUAGCAUGGUCCUCUUCACCAUUGAAAGGAUACCCGUAUACAAACCUGCCACUUCUGCCACACACAACUGUGGGACUGCCAAGCACCAGCAGCAUCUUUGACAGGUGAUUGGCUCCUUCCCUGCCUACCCUGGAAUCUCCCACCAAUUCACCUAGAUGCUAGAGCAUCCUUCAUAUCAACCCCAGAAAUGGGGUGGAAAUGCAGCAAGUCUCCCUUGAAUGUUUUGCAUCUUUUUCUGGCAUACCCCACCAUAACCAUGACCCACCUUUACCAUACAGUCACCUUCUUUCCUUCCCUACAUCCUCCUAGUUUGGGAUUAAACCAAACCAUUCCAAAUCCCCUUGCUGGCAGGUCUCAGUUAGGGAACAUGGGGAAUAAGAAAGGGAAUUUUCCAUCUGUUUUUGAAGUUUCUGUUAGAAAGAACUCUAUAAAUAGGUCCUUGCACAACUGCAUGAUUACAGUAGUCAAAACCUUAAUGAAAACAAAACUAUAGAGAUCAGCAGCCUCAAAACCAUGAUAAAAUACUUAAAUUGUAGAAUUAUUUGUAUAGACACAUGCCAGCAUCCCUGUUAGGUCCAGUUCCAUAAUGGAUCCCAAGGCAGGAGACUGUGAGGUACCCAGCUUUGCAAAAAAAAAAAAAAAAAAUGACAGGUGUUGACCAAAUGUCUUGAUUUUGCUGGAAAGGGAAAUGCUUUUCUGCUCUUUUAAUUGUUAGUUUGUAAUUAAUGCUGCACUCUCCUUUACCCUAAUGGAAAAAACAUUACAGGCCUGAAAUGUUCUGUCUCUGCCUUACCCUUCGUGAGGCUGCAGCCCCCCUUACAAGAGGUGAACAGCAGCCACUCUGGCUGUACAUCAUUGGUCUAGUGACCAUCCAGACCCAGGCUGGAUUUUUUUCUGCCAGAAGCAGCUCCACAGGAGCUUGCAAAAGCUCAGCCUGCAAGAAGACCAUGCAAAAACCAUGGCACCUGAGCAGGAGGCUAUUUCUAAUCUGAUUCUGAACUACAUCUGAUGCUUGUGAUUAAAUUGAGCACUAGACUCUCCAGAGGGCUGUGCAGUGAGGUUGAAUUUGCUCAGUUCUCCGUGGUGACUCUCCCACUCCCAUCUGCUGGCCACUGUUCAGCAGGGCUAAUGGUGACCCUGAUCUAAAAACACCCCACAGGCAGCCUGUUUCUUGUAAGGGAUCUGGUGCUGCUGGGCUCCUGAACCAGGACUGCAGGAAGAGGUGUAACACAGAACCGCAGGGCAGCCUCACCAGGCAAGGCAGGGGUGCAAGAAUAGGGAAAAGCAAAAAGCAAAGGUCCAGUGUCACCAUUGCUCCUGUGCAGCAGGUUUACUCCUCACAAUAAGAGCUCCAUUCUUCGCAUGCUCUUUGUGGCUGGGUGAUGUUCUGCAGUGAAAACAGUGCAGAAAUGCAGAGUCUGGGGAAAAAGCAGGGGAGGACACUUACAUUUACAUUUUUUCUUUACUGAAAAGAUGAAACGGUGUGUGUUUGGGGGUGGGACGAUGCUGACUGUUGGGCCUCUCUAAAUGCAGAACCAGAAGCACUCUAGCCCUAGGUUUUUGUUUGUUUGUUUUUCUCUGAGCUCUCUUCCUCUUACUUUCCUUGCUCAAAAAUUCCUGUUGGGGACAAUUUUGUUUGCUCUGCACUCAGCUGGGAGCUAGGGGAAUAUUUCUUAUGUCAUGCUAAAUCUCCUCCUUCUGCUGCCUUUACAAAGGCUUAUAAACAUAAAAUUGCAACCUUAUAGAAACCAGCACCCAGAUGCUUUUGGAAAGUCAAAAAAAAAAAAAACAUUCAGCACUCCCCAGGAGCUACAAUGUGUUUUAGCAGUUCUACUUAAACACACAAGCAAGAUUGUUUUACGGAUAUAAGCUGGUCUUGGAUACCCCAGAAAGACAGUGCAUGCCCCACAGCAGACUUUCAGAACAAGAUUUAUUGAGUGCAUGCUCUGCGGCUGCACAGGACACAGCAUUCUGGGGGGGAUAGACAAAUACUGGACUUAAGGUCUUUCUCCAUCUCACUCAUCUAUUAAGAAACCAAAGAAGGGACUGGAUCUUCUAGUCCCUUCUGCUCAUCUGUAAAACUUGUCACUUAUUUAACCCACCUUACUGGGAAUCUUCAGGUGAACAGAGCAGAAACAUGGAGGGAUAAAACACACAUGGAGAGAUAAAACACACAGUGCUCCAGAGAAUGAAUACCAUCCUGCAACAAGGCCUGGAACCAUUGGUAACCUCUAACAUCAUUCAAUUGGCUCUCUCAAGCUGAAAUUGUACCAGCACACCUCAUUAUUUUGUUUUCUUCUGGACCAGGUUCCACCAUCCACAAAAUACAUGUUAUCUGUAUCUAAUUUCAAAUACAUCGUACUCUUAAGUUAUGCAAAGAAGGAAGCCAUGCAGAAAAAAGCUGUAUGAAUAAGCCAGUAACUCCUCUCUAGAGCUGAAGGAUUUUCUUCUGUGCAGGCACGUGGGUAAAAUAAAGCCAUGCCAAUGGAGUAACUGUGGAAUGGGUACAUGAAAUGAGGAAGCAAGCAAAGGUUGCAGAUGUGAGAAGGAGAAAGGAGUACAUAGGGUACUGGCCAUAGCUAUACCAGAAGCAGGAAGGAAAUAUAAAUCCUCUUCUGUAGAAAA